UCCCUGGUGGUCCAGUGGUUAAGACUCUGCACUCUGAAUGCAGGAGGUCCAGGUUCGAUCCCUGGCCAGGAAA